rnacentral:rRNA from 1 species
UACGUAGGGUGCGAGCGUUAAUCGGAAUUACUGGGCGUAAAGCGUGCGCAGGCGGUUCGUUGUGUCGGCGGUGAAAGCCCCGGGCUUAACCUGGGAACGGCCGUUGAAACUGGCGAACUGGAGUGUGGCAGAGGGGGGUGGAAUUCCCGGUGUAGUGGUGAAAUGCGUAGAUAUCGGGGAGGAACACCAGUGGCGAAGGCGGGUCUCUGGACAGUUCCUGACGCUGAGGCACGAAGGUCAGGGGAGCAAACGGG